GAAGAGGAACAUCAGCGUCACUGUCGUUGCCACCGCCAUUGUGGCGUUCCUCCUCUUCUUGGAUGUCCUCGUUAACACGUGAAAAUCCUUUCGAGACUAUAGGAUCACACACCCAGUUGAAGACCACUCAACUGCCGCGUGUUCGUGACGGGUCCCUGCUGCCGUGGAUGCUCCCAAAAAUUGGCGCUCGUCGACUUUGGCGGUGCACUUAGGUGGUGGAAAACGGACGAUCAUUCGCGAACCGAUCAGUUGGACGUGUGUGUGUGUCAGUUUCAAAGGCGGCGAACAGGCAAACACGUUGUCAGGUCUUCGUUGGCUGUUUACCAGGUCCGAACUGUGUAUCACAAAUAAGUAAUGAAAAAGUAUUUCGAUAAUGGACGAUAACGGGUUGAGCGACGUCGUCGAUCGUCGUGCGUUGCCUCGAGCAGAGGCGCUGCCUUCUUCUCGUGAGCAACGUAUACCUCGCGACACGUACGGAUUCUCUGUCGUGACCACUCGAUAUUCCCUCGUUGGCCGUUGGCGCAGAACAGAACCCUCCGAGGCGUCUUGUCAGGUCAACUCCUACAAAGCCUCGGCCCUGCCGAGAAUUGCCAGAUGUGCAAACAUACCUCUCAUCCAAGGACACUUUCUCUAGCCUUGGAGACAGUGAGACAGUAUGUGGAAAGGCUCGGUAGGGCAUAAACAAAGCCUUGUCUAGGAAACAAGGCGCCUUGGCCGGCUCCAGAAAGUCGCCUACCAAUUAAAAGGGCGACGUAGACAUAGCGAAAAGAUGAUUCAGAGGAGUCACCAAUAGACCAUUCGAGGAGACACACGUGGACCUCUUGACGAGACACACGCAGUCCGUCCGAGGACUGACUCCGCGUCAGUUACACAUUCACUUUCAUUUACACUAAAUCAGUCAGAGUGAUUCCGCGUCGGCCACUCAUUCACUCACUCAAUUCAGUCAUUGUAUUAGUUGAGAAUAAAAGUAUUUAUUCUA